CAUUAAUUACUGUUAGUUAAAAUUUAAAAAUUUCAAAUCCAAAAUCGUCCAAAAUCCAAAUCAAUGUUUAUAUGAGAUCUGAAACCCUAGAUCUAUUGCCACCACAUUCAUCUCUUCUCCAUUAUCACCAUCAAGCUCGCUCUAGUGUUCGAGAUCAGAGGGAGAGUAAGCUCGCCACUGUCGACAUUCAUGUCCUCGUCGUUGCCGCCAUCAAGCUUCUAUGUAUAUGUGUUGUUUCCUUCGUCUACACGCCAUAGCUUUUGAGAUCAGAGAGAGUGAGUUCGUAGUCACUGUCGGAGCCUCCAUCAAGCUUAUCUGUCGACGCGUUUGAUUUUCUCCUCAAUAAGCUAAGUUUAAUUUCUGUUUGUUCAUUUUUUUCUUUUUCAUUGUUAUUUAUUUAACUCAGUUUGGAUAUUCAAUCAUUUUUCACUUUUUCUCUACAUUUUUUAUGCAUAUAUAGCGUGGUUGGAAUUUGUUAUGAAGAAAGAUCGCAGCGGUGGUAGUGCAACGGCAAUGACGGCGGUGGAGCAAAGAAUGGUUCUUCAUAGAGCACAACAGGUGAAGAAGAGUAGACAUGGACCGAGGUCGCGAAGCUCAGCGUAUCGCGGCGUCACCUUCUAUCGAAGGAUCGGACGAUGUGAAUCACAUAUUUGCAUGAUGGAUUCUUCCCUUUUCUUGGAAAUUGAUGCUUUUCUCAACAACAACAGCACAAAUUAGAGACCAUUGGAGCAAAGCAAAGGCUGUUGAUAUUUGAUAAGCACAAUAAUGACCCUCAGAUAUAAUGUGUAACAGGUACAAUAUGCUUGAUCAAGGUUUUGUUAAGGAAUCGGUGUUUUCAUUUUGGCUGAACCGUAACCCAGAGGAAGAGAAUGGGGGCGAACUUGUUUUUGGAGGUGUUGAUCCCAAUCACUACAAGGGAAAGUACACUUAUCUGCCUGUGUCAAGAAAAAGAUAUUGGAAGUUUGAUAUGGGAGAUAUACUUAUUGGAGACAAAAAAACUGGAAUUUGUGCUGAUAGUUGUUCAGCUAUUGCAAACUUAGGGACUUCUUUGUUGGCAGGUCCAACGGCAUCUGGAUGCCAACAGCUCAUAUGAUGUUCCACUCAUAGCACAUUCGCUGGAUGGGAGAUCCUAUGGCUACUCAAACAAUUAUCCUGCCACAUCCUCGCUGCAACUUGGAUCUGUUUCAGGAUCUUUGCCAGAAAGCUAUCUUGGUGGAGCAGUGGCGAGCGGAGUUAAUAUGGUUGGAGGAGCCAUAGCUAGCUCUGCUAUACUAGUUUAUACUAUACUGGUUAUCAGGAGUUUAAUAAAUAGAGCUAUAUAUGUGUGAUCCAGUUCUGUGCGACAGCAUUUGCCUACUAAGAUCAAGCAACUGCAGCACAGGAAAUAUUUGGCCACACCUUGGAGUCUCUGCGUGGAAUUAAAUAUUUGUACAAGUACAACGUAUUUCAGAUCGCAUUUGUUUUAUUGGCUGGAUUGACAUUUGUGUAUUAUCUUAUCUUUGGAUGGAGAAGAAGAAAGCCUAGUGGCAGGUUCCAAUUGUCUUCAUGAGGUUGCUUGAAAUGUAUUUGGAUCCACAAGAUGGUAAGGAGCCCAUGUUUAAUGCUGCUGUUCGCCUUCUCCACAAUCAUGGAAAAUCAUUGGAACCUUUGCAAAUUUUCAAUGAAUACACAAUUGAAGCCUUGAACCUGACUUGUAAGGAAGGCUUGUAAAGUACUUGAUUUUCCAUUUUGUACCUUAUACUUAGAACAUUGUAUUUCUUGCUGCUUAAUAAAUGAGAGGUUAUUAAUUCUCUUUGAAA